UACAGAGACUGCAAGCGUUAUUCGGAUUCAUUGGGCGUAAAGAGCUCGUAGGCGGUUCGAUAAGUCGGGUGUGAAACCUCCAGGCUCAACCUGGAGACGCCACCCGAUACUGUCGUGACUAGAGUCCAGUAGGGGAGCGUGGAAUUCCUGGUGUAGCGGUGAAAUGCGUAGAUAUCUGGAGGAAUACCGGUGGCGAAGGCGGCAUCCUGGACCGACAUUGACGCUGAUGAGCGAAAGCUAGGGGAGCAAACGGG
rnacentral:rRNA from 1 species